rnacentral:lncRNA from 1 species
UUUUUUUUGGAUUUUCGGAUAGGGAUAACUAAAUUGCAGCAGCAGUAAGGUAGGAAACCAGAACCUAUUGCAAUUCACGGGAUGAUCCGCGGUGGUGGAGAUGAUGGCGGAAUUUGGCGACGAUCUUUUAAGCAAUUGUGGGAAUUGCUUUGGACAGUUGUGGAGGGUUGAUGGAUGGCAAUGGAAGGGCAGCGAGAUGCCAAGAACGCUGCUCUGAUACCAGGUGUUAGAACCCUUGCAGAUUCUAAACUUGGGGUUGAUCU